CUAGCUACAGGCUUAACACAUGCAAGUCGAGGGGCAUCAGGAAGAAAGCUUGCUUUCUUUGCUGGCGACCGGCGCACGGGUGAGUAACACGUAUCCAACCUGCCCUUUACUCGGGGAUAGCCUUUCGAAAGAAAGAUUAAUACCCGAUAGCAUAAUGAUUCCGCAUGGUUUCAUUAUUAAAGGAUUCCGGUAAAGGAUGGGGAUGCGUUCCAUUAGGUUGUUGGUGAGGUAACGGCCCACCAAGCCUUCGAUGGAUAGGGGUUCUGAGAGGAAGGUCCCCCACAUUGGAACUGAGACACGGUCCAAACUCCCACGGGAGGCAGCAGUGAGGAAUAUUGGUCAAUGGGCGCUAGCCUGAACCAGCCAAGUAGCGUGAAGGAUGAGGGCUCUAUGGGUCGUAAACUUCUUUUAUAUAAGAAUAAAGUGCAGUAUGUAUACUGUUUUGUAUGUAUUAUAUGAAUAAGGAUCGGCUAACUCCGUGCCAGCAGCCGCGGUAAUACGGAGGAUCCGAGCGUUAUCCGGAUUUAUUGGGUUUAAAGGGAGCGUAGGUGGACUGGUAAGUCAGUUGUGAAAGUUUGCGGCUCAACCGUAAAAUUGCAGUUGAUACUGUCAGUCUUGAGUACAGUAGAGGUGGGCGGAAUUCGUGGUGUAGCGGUGAAAUGCUUAGAUAUCACGAAGAACUCCGAUUGCGAAGGCAGCUCACUGGACUGCAACUGACACUGAUGCUCGAAAGUGUGGGUAUCAAACAGGAUUAGAUACCCUGGUAGUCCACACAGUAAACGAUGAAUACUCGCUGUUUGCGAUAUACAGUAAGCGGCCAAGCGAAAGCAUUAAGUAUUCCACCUGGGGAGUACGCCGGCAACGGUGAAACUCAAAGGAAUUGACGGGGGCCCGCACAAGCGGAGGAACAUGUGGUUUAAUUCGAUGAUACGCGAGGAACCUUACCCGGGCUUAAAUUGCAGUGGAAUGAUGUGGAAACAUGUCAGUGAGCAAUCACCGCUGUGAAGGUGCUGCAUGGUUGUCGUCAGCUCGUGCCGUGAGGUGUCGGCUUAAGUGCCAUAACGAGCGCAACCCUUAUCUUUAGUUACUAACAGGUUAUGCUGAGGACUCUAGAGAGACUGCCGUCGUAAGAUGUGAGGAAGGUGGGGAUGACGUCAAAUCAGCACGGCCCUUACGUCCGGGGCUACACACGUGUUACAAUGGGGGGUACAGAAGGCAGCUAGCGGGUGACCGUAUGCUAAUCCCAAAAUCCUCUCUCAGUUCGGAUCGAAGUCUGCAACCCGACUUCGUGAAGCUGGAUUCGCUAGUAAUCGCGCAUCAGCCACGGCGCGGUGAAUACGUUCCCGGGCCUUGUACACACCGCCCGUCAAGCCAUGGGAGCCGGGGGUACCUGAAGUACGUAACCGCAAGGAUCGUCCUAGGGUAAAACUGGUGACUGG
rnacentral:rRNA from 1 species